rnacentral:rRNA from 1 species
CGAUGGAACCGCGCUYCGGCUGGGGAAUAGUGGCGAACGGGUGAGUAACACGUGGGCAAUCUGCCCUGCACUCUGGGACAAGCCCUGGAAACGGGGUCUAAUACCGGAUAUGACCUGGUGAGGCAUCUCAUCGGGUGGAAAGCUCCGGCGGUGCAGGAUGAGCCCGCGGCCUAUCAGCUUGUUGGUGGGGUGAUGGCCUACCAAGGCGACGACGGGUAGCCGGCCUGAGAGGGCGACCGGCCACACUGGGACUGAGACACGGCCCAGACUCCUACGGGAGGCAGCAGUGGGGAAUAUUGCACAAUGGGCGAAAGCCUGAUGCAGCGACGCCGCGUGAGGGAUGACGGCCUUCGGGUUGUAAACCUCUUUCAGCAGGGAAGAAGCGAAAGUGACGGUACCUGCAGAAGAAGCGCCGGCUAACUACGUGCCAGCAGCCGCGGUAAUACGUAGGGCGCAAGCGUUGUCCGGAAUUAUUGGGCGUAAAGAGCUCGUAGGCGGCUUGUCACGUCGGAUGUGAAAGCCCGGGGCUUAACCCCGGGUCUGCAUUCGAUACGGGCAGGCUAGAGUUCG